AACGAACGCUGGCGGCAUGCCUAACACAUGCAAGUCGAACGAGACCUUCGGGUCUAGUGGCGCACGGGUGCGUAACGCGUGGGAAGCUGCACAUGGGUUCGGAAUAACAGUGAGAAAUUACUGCUAAUACCGGAUGAUGUCUUCGGACCAAAGAUUUAUCGCCCAGGGAUGAGCCCGCGUAGGAUUAGCUAGUUGGUGGGGUAAUGGCCUACCAAGGCGACGAUCCUUAGCUGGUCUGAGAGGAUGAUCAGCCACACUGGGACUGAGACGCGGCCCGGACUCCUACGCGAUGCAGCAGUGGGGAAUAUUGGACCAUGGGCGCAAGCCUGAUCCAGCAAUGCCGCGUGAGUGAUGAAGGCCUUAGGGUUGUAAAGCUCUUUUACCCGGGAUGAUAAUGACGGUACCGGGUGAAUAAGCUCCGGCUAACUCCGUG
rnacentral:rRNA from 1 species